GGGGAGAUGCCAGAGCGGCCAAUCGGGCCAGACUGUAAAUCUGGUGGCACUGCCUUCGUGGGUUCAAAUCCCUCUCUCCCCACCA
rnacentral:tRNA from 1 species